CCACUUUACUUUGUGGCAUCAUGAGGUAACCAGCAGCUUAAACCAGGCACAGUGACUUGGAGAAACAAUCUAUUUUAAAUCCUUGUUCAUCCAUUUUACUUUGGUCCAUUUCUACAUGUGAAUGAGUAAAGUAAAAAUGGUUUGUACCAGAAUAACUUCGAUUAUUGAAGCAGUGCACAGCCGAAGGAGAGGGGACAAUCUCAAAGCACCUGGCCAAACACAGAAACAAGAGAUGCGACUGCCAACAUGUAGCAGGGCCAACAUCUACCAGGCAUAUAGUUUCAAGUCACCUCAGCCAUUUACAGUGUGUGUGUUUGGCCCAGAUGGGGCCCCUAGCCGUUUUCCCAAUAACAUUUCUAGACCGGGAGAAUUUGCAGACUGGGUUCUGGCCCCUUGUCCUCAUGCUCUUUUUGUUUUAAUCUGGAUUUCAAGCCACAAUAUGAGGGAAGUGGUUGGGUAGAGGUCUAGUAACCCAGCACUCGGAAUCUGGCAACAUGGGUUUGAAACUCACCGUAGCAGAUGGAGCAAUUUGAAUUUAAUACAAAUGUGGUCUGUUACCUCUACCAAUUGUCAUAAAAUCCCAUCUGAUUCACUUAUGCCCUUUAGGGAGGAAAUUGCCAUCCUUGCUGGCCUACAUACCCUUUAACUUUGUGCUUGACUCUUAACUGCCCUUUGGUCAACUAGGAAUGAGUAAUCGUGGUGUAGCCAGCAAUGCCUGCAUCCUAUGAACAAAUAUGAAAGUUUUCACUUUCAGUGAAAUAUUGGUUCAAUAGGACUGACCUUAUCUGGAUUUGGGGGGUCAUUUAGCUCAGUUGGCUGGACAUCUGGUUUGAGAUCCAGCAUGAUCUCAAUUUCGCUCCUUGCCGGAGUUAAAUUCUGUAAAGUCCUGAAGUAGGGAAAUUGGAAGAUCUGAGAUUGAUUCUGUUGUACUGCUACUUCCCUAGUGAGACCUGGCGUUUUGAGUCCAACAUGGCUAUGCUUUGGAACUCAGUUUAAUUCCUGAAGAGUUGUCUUAGACUCGAAACAUAACCUUCUGACUUUCUCCACUUUGUUUUUAUUUCAGCUGUCCAGGAUCCACAGUAUUUUGUUUCUUCUCCCUUUAUAGGUGUUAUCUUCUGCAAUGACUCAGUUGCACCCCCUCUGAGUCAAAAGGUUGUUUGUUCAAGUCCUACUGCAGAGCCCAUGCUGGUAGGGCUGUCACUUGGAGAAGUCUAACAGUAAGAGUAUGUGAGCAGUCCAGUAAAUUGGGAGAACUGCAAUCUAUCCUUCCAGUCUAUCUGCAGUCUCGCCACCAGAUGGCAACGAGAUGCAUUUGGGAGAAAAAGCACUGGCUGCUUUCUCAUAUCUGCUUCUAUUACUGCCCCUCUAUUUUCACAUUGUUACUCCUUCCCCAGCCUCUUUGCUGUUGCCUGUGUGCUCCCUGUCUCCUCCCAUCCACUCUGUUCUUCCCAUCUUUCCUACCUUGCACCCUAUUUCUUCAGGUGCCCACCCCUACACCCACACUUCAGAGGAACGAAGAGUUUGGGCAGAGGUGACUGCAUUACUGAAGAAAAUUAAAGAUGAGGCAGUGCAAGUUAAGACUGAGAGGAGAGUUGUCGCCGUCUUCAUAUAAAGGAACUGAGACAUUUUGAUAACUAACUUUCUUCUCUCUUUAACCUAGGUGUUUUGGGGGUUGGACAAGAAGUUGGCACAGCGCAAGCACUUUCCCUCAGUCAACUGGUUGAUCAGUUACAGUAAGUACACCCGUGCUCUGGAUGAAUACUAUGACAAGCACUUCACUGAAUUUGUGCCAUUGAGGACCAAAGCUAAAGAGAUCCUGCAGGAAGAGGAGGACCUAGCAGAAAUUGUCCAGCUUGUUGGAAAAGCAUCCCUGGCAGAGACUGACAAAAUAACUUUGGAGGUGGCAAAAUUGAUCAAGGAUGAUUUCUUGCAGCAGAAUGGAUAUACACCAUAUGACCGAUUUUGCCCAUUCUACAAAACUGUCGGUAUGCUGUCAAAUAUGAUUGGUUUCUAUGAUAUGGCUCGUCAUGCUGUCGAGUCAACUGCUCAAAGCGAUAACAAGAUUACAUGGUCGAUUAUCCGUGAACACAUGGGCGAGAUACUGUACAAGCUGAGUUCCAUGAAAUUCAAGGACCCAGUGAAGGAUGGAGAGGCAAAAAUCAAAGCAGACUACUUGCAACUCUUUGAAGACAUGCAGACUGCAUUCCGUUCUCUAGAAGACUAAAACUAGUCGUUUCUGAGAAACUACAAAACAAAACCCAGUUUGCCCAGUAUUUAUAGCUUUUUUUUUUGCUUUUAGUUUUCUCACAUUCCUUUUCUACAUAUAACGUCUUAACUGUUUUGAUGUAUUUGAUGUACAGUCAUUGGCUCACCAUUCCAACAAAGUUUGAUAAGUCUAGUUUAUUUGGAAUGUCUUUCUAGAAGUGUGGGAUCUACUUAGCAGUCAUGAAAACAAAUGUCAGUAUUGUGUCUCUGCCAUAACUGGUAUUGUACACCCUUAGUUUUCUGCCACUAACAGGUCAAGUUCAUUUUUAAACCACUGCAGAAACAAAUGUGACCACCUUGCUUUAUUUUUUUAAAUGUAAGUCAAUGGCAAAUACGCAUUAAGGUGUCCAUGUGUAUAUUGACGUCUGUAUAUAUUAAUUAUAGCUACCUGCACUAUUGUAAUCAUUUAAGCUUUAGCCUUAUCCUUGGAUUCUCAUCAACUGAAUCCAAAGCAUUCGGAAGGAAUUCUGUUCUGGCAUGAAAUAUGGUGUCAAGUUUGAAAUGAUUUUUGGUAUGUGAAGAAACUCUCAUGACUUUGCCAGAGCACAGCUACCAUGGGGAAAGGGGGGUUGCAACAAUACACACUCCAGUCUUAACAGUAUCGCCAGCACUGGUGCUGAUGGACACUGAUGACAUGCAUGCAAACUUUAGCUUAGAAGUUUUGGUUAACAUUGUUAGGUUUUUCAUUAGUGUAGAAUAGAGCUGAAGCAAUCCUUGCAAUACCAGCUGCAAACUUUGCAACAAAGCCAGGAAUAUUUUGUCCCACAUUAGCUAAAGGCUGUGGGGUAUGGGUGAAGCAAGCUUUUGCACAGUUGUGCACAAAGCUCUUGAUUUGGCUUUCUGUCCUAGCCCUGCCCACAUCUUGAAAUCUCUGUUUUGAUGUGGGUGUAAAACUCAGACUAACUGCUUUCUAAAAAUUUUCUAAACUUGGAUCCUUUGGAAAGUUUGCAGUAGAAAGCAAGUACGUUCAUCUAUAUGAAGUCAGUGAGCCAAAGUCAUGGCUGUCAUUGUAGAGGAAAGCCAACCUGUGAUUUUAAAGGAUUGGUAUAUGAGUUUGUAAUAAGUUUGCUUUUGUUGGAAACUGAUUCCAGACCAGGUGGUUUGUGCAGAAGGGGGAAAUUCAGAAUGCCAUCUGUGCUGGGUACUGCACCAGAUUGGGAUUGCAGUGUACGAACCCAAGUCACUUUAAAAAGUACAGUUGGUUGGAAAUGUGCUUAACAUCCAUUUUAGUUUUGCCUUCCUGCUUUAAAAAAUAGUUAAGAUGUGAAAAGUUAUGUAGAGAUUAAUGAUCUGGGCAGACAAACUGAAACAAUGAAGUGACGGGAAAACUGUCGCAGUGAGGAAGAAUGUAAUGGAACUAAGGUUAUAAAUGAGGAAAAUGUUCAUGAGAGAUUUAAAAUCCAGAAAGAUGGGUCGGGGGAGAGGGUUUGAAAUAAUCAGAAGCUUUACAUGGUAUGGGGUACCUGGCAGUGUUACCAGUUCAAACACUGGGUGAGUGAUGUUUCAACAGGUUUUUUUAAUACCUGUUUUGGCCUCUAUCUUUGUGCAGCUGCCAAGAGCAUGUCUCCAAUCCUUACCCCAAAAGUUGACAUUUUCUCUUCCCCAAAUCAAUUCUGCUUCGUGAAGUGUGAUUGCUGUGUUCCAGGCACAUGGCAUUGUGGGAUAUCAAUGACCUCGCUUGUCUAUUCGUAUUUUUGCAGGAUCUCCAGUCCUGUUACGGGAUAUUUCAUUAACUGGCCCAAGUUGCCUUCCAGGAGUUUAGAUUGCCUAGUUUGCACUACUAGUUUGUCUAAUGUGAGUUCACCGAUUUAGCUGCUGUCAGAAAUGUGUAUAAAGUUAAAAUCUUAAUUGCAUUACUAUUUUAGUUAGCUGUGAUUUAAAAUAUUGAGCGUGUGUAAUUAAAAUUUUUCAGUUCCCAUGGGGGUGCAACUGUUGACCCUGGAUGGUAAUGGAUUGCUUAGCUUUACAACUUAUUUCAUAUUCCAUUUGGCUCAUUUCUUUUUUAAACUUCUCAUUAUGCUGCCCAUAAUGUGGUUAUGAUUGUUGGUGGGAAUAUGCUAGAGGAGAUUGGGUGAAAUUUUUAAAUAUGAAGCAGUAGUCUCUAGGAAAAACCAGAAUAUAACAAAGCCAUGUCCAGUACAGUUCCUGGAUCAAGGAAAGUACAGUUUAGUUUCGAUUUGAAAAUAUUCACUAAUGCUUAAUAGUGCAUUAAUAUAGUGUUAAUGUUUAGUACAUUUUAGAAUGUAUUUAACCUUUUUGAAAUCUCAUUUUCCUACACUAAGCGUAGAAGGCUUACUAUCAUAAUUAUUUGCAUCUUCUAUGCUUAAGGCCAUGGCAAUGCACUAAGACUUGUCCCAGUUAAAUAAAUUAUCAAACCUAAUUUAGGGCGUUGUUGUAAAUCUGUUGGGUUUAUCCAUGUUUGACAUUUCUAAAUUCUUUGGUAUUCAUUCUGAUUGUGACUAUUUUGAGCUGGCAAUUAUAGAUUAAAGCAAGCUGGUUUUUCCCCUUGAACCAACUUUAAAAUACAGGUAUUGCACAAUUUAGUACUUGUGAAAAUUGGAAAGUAGUCUACAUUAUUUUUGAUUAAACUUCAUUGGAGGAGUCUGACCAUGUUCAGUUUGUCAGAUGCAGUAAUUUACUUAACUAGCUUUAAACCACAAAUAUACAUAGUCCAUUUUGACUGAGAAAUAGCAAAGGCAAUGUUUAAUUCUGUUUUGUAAAUUAUUUUGAAUUUGAUCCUUAGCACUUUCAAACAGCGUUUCAUCCCAAAAAUAAAAGAUUGUUUGAAAUUAUUCAAAUGUCUGAAAAUUAUUCAAAGAAAGCAAGGCAAUGGAAAUCUGCCUGGUCUCUGCUUACCAGUGCCUGGAAUGUUACAGCUUUAACAAAAAAAACAAGCAUCUUGAGAUAUGACGAUCUGCAGCAAAUGAAAAACAUUCUACACAUCUGGAACGUGUUCGAUGGUUUCUUCAAAUAACAGUUUCAUAUGCAGUAAAUGUGUGUAAUUCUGCUUCCAGCUCUGUGGAAAUGGGCAUUCCCUCUGAUCAAAUUCAUGUUAAAAGCCUUGUAAUGCAGCAAUUUACAAUGAACUGUGGGUGUAAUUAUCUUGCUGUAAAAGGUAUUGGAAUAUAUUGGGAAUUAAAGUAGGGAUGCAACUGUACAUUGUGAUUAAUGUAAGGCAAUAAUUCAAGUUGUAUUUUUCCAGUUUUGAUGGUAAAUUUCACUUUUCGGUAAAUGAUUUGUGUGCACAAAUGGUUACAGUUUUCAUAUUUGUUCAGUCAUUGUGCAAAUUAUAAAAAUAACUAAUAAAGUUGCAGUGAUGUCCAGUGA